rnacentral:rRNA from 1 species
AAAUGGUAUCAGUGGUAGGGGAGCGUUCUAAGGACAGUGAAGUCAGACCGGAAGGACUGGUGGAGUGCUUAGAAGUGAGAAUGCCGGUAUGAGUAGCGAAAGACGGGUGAGAAUCCCGUCCACCGAAUGCCUAAGGUUUCCUGAGGAAGGCUCGUCCGCUCAGGGUUAGUCAGGACCUAAGCCGAGGCCGACAGGCGUAGGCGAUGGACAACAGGUUGAUAUUCCUGUACCACCUCUUUAUCGUUUGAGCAAUGGAGGGACGCAGAAGGAUAGAAGAAGCGUGCGAUUGGUUGUGCACGUCCAAGCAGUUAGGCUGAUAAGUAGGCAAAUCCGCUUAUCGUAAAGGCUGAGCUGUGAUGGGGAAGCUCCUUAUGGAGCGAAGUCUUUGAUUCCCCGCUGCCAAGAAAAGCUUCUAGCGAGAUAAAAGGUGCCUGUACCGCAAACCGACACAGGUAGGCGAGGAGAGAAUCCUAAGGUGUGCGAGAGAACUCUGGUUAAGGAACUCGGCAAAAUGACCCCGUAACUUCGGGAGAAGGGGUGCUUUCUUAACGGAAAGCCGCAGUGAAUAGGCCCAAGCGACUGUUUAGCAAAAACACAGCUCUCUGCGAAGCCGUAAGGCGAAGUAUAGGGGGUGACACCUGCCCGGUGCUGGAAGGUUAAGGAGAGGGGUUAGCGUAAGCGAAGCUCUGAACUGAAGCCCCAGUAAACGGCGGCCGUAACUAUAACGGUCCUAAGGUAGCGAAAUUCCUUGUCGGGUAAGUUCCGACCCGCACGAAAGGUGUAACGAUUUGGGCACUGUCUCAACCAGAGACUCGGUGAAAUUAUAGUACCUGUGAAGAUGCAGGUUACCCGCGACAGGACGGAAAGACCCCGUGGAGCUUUACUGUAGCCUGAUAUUGAAUUUUGGUACAGUUUGUACAGGAUAGGCGGGAGCCUUUGAAACCGGAGCGCUAGCUUCGGUGGAGGCGCUGGUGGGAUACCGCCCUGACUGUAUUGAAAUUCUAACCUACGGGUCUUAUCGACCCGGGAGACAGUGUCAGGUGGGCAGUUUGACUGGGGCGGUCGCCUCCUAAAGUGUAACGGAGGCGCCCAAAGGUUCCCUCAGAAUGGUUGGAAAUCAUUCGUAGAGUGCAAAGGCAUAAGGGAGCUUGACUGCGAGACCUACAAGUCGAGCAGGGACGAAAGUCGGGCUUAGUGAUCCGGUGGUUCCGCAUGGAAGGGCCAUCGCUCAACGGAUAAAAGCUACCCCGGGGAUAACAGGCUUAUCUCCCCCAAGAGUCCACAUCGACGGGGAGGUUUGGCACCUCGAUGUCGGCUCAUCGCAUCCUGGGGCUGUAGUCGGUCCCAAGGGUUGGGCUGUUCGCCCAUUAAAGCGGUACGCGAGCUGGGUUCAGAACGUCGUGAGACAGUUCGGUCCCUAUCCGUCGUGGGCGUAGGAAAUUUGAGAGGAGCUGUCCUUAGUACGAGAGGACCGGGAUGGACGCACCGCUGGUGUACCAGUUGUUCUGCCAAGGGCAUAGCUGGGUAGCUAUGUGCGGAAGGGAUAAGUGCUGAAAGCAUCUAAGCAUGAAGCCCCCCUCAAGAUGAGAUUUCCCAUAGCGUAAGCUAGUAAGAUCCCUGAAAGAUGAUCAGGUUGAUAGGUUCGAGGUGGAAGCAUGGUGACAUGUGGAGCUGACGAAUACUAAUAGAUCGAGGACUUAACCAUAUAAUAUG